UUGUAACUCUUGAUCAUUCAUACAAUGUAUUUGCAGUGAUUCAAUUUCUCUAAUUUAUAUUCUAGAGAUAAGGAGACAAUCAAAAUAACAAAAAUAAAAUUCCUUAUCUAUAAAAACAAAUACACAAAGAAAACUUAAGUAUCAACAUCUAUUUCUUCAUCUUGUGCUUCCAAAUGUUGAAAUUCAUCAUUGGUAUCACCAUCAUUCAUCUACAAAAUAAAAAUAAUAUAUUCAAUAAGUAAAAUCAUGAGUAAAUGAAAAAAUGUUAAAGUCUAUAAUAGUAAUAUAGUUCUAACAAUACUAUAUAUAUAAUUCUAACAAUAAUAUUUCUAACCGUAAUAUAGUUCAGUCUUACUUCAUUAUUAUUAGGAGCAUGUGUUGAUGUAGAAGAACGUAGAGUACUGUUAGCAUCAGCUGGAGUUGAUAAAAAAGCUGCUAAAGCAUCUAUAUUCAAUCCUACAGUGUUUGAGUUCAAC
rnacentral:lncRNA from 1 species